AUUGAACGCUGGCGGAAUGCUUUACACAUGCAAGUCGAACGGCAGCACGGACUUCGGUCUGGUGGCGAGUGGCGAACGGGUGAGUAAUGUAUCGGAACGUGCCCAGUCGUGGGGGAUAACGUAGCGAAAAUUACGCUAAUACCGCAUACGAUCUAUGGAUGAAAGCGGGGGAUCGCAAGACCUCGCGCGAUUGGAGCGGCCGAUAUCAGAUUAGGUAGUUGGUGGGGUAAAGGCCCACCAAGCCAACGGUCUGUAGCUGGUCUGAGAGGACGACCAGCCACACUGGAACUGAGACACGGUCCAGACUCCUACGGGAGUCAGCAGUGGGGAAUUUUGGACAAUGGGCGAAAGCCUGAUCCAGCCAUUCCGCGUGCAGGAUGAAGGCCCUCGGGUUGUAAACUGCUUUUGUACGGAACGAAAAGGUCUCUCUUAAUACGGGGGGCUCAUGACGGUACCGUAAGAAUAAGCACCGGCUAACUACGUGCCAGCCGCCGCCGUAA
rnacentral:rRNA from 1 species